GGGCCUGUGGCGAAAUUGGCAGACGCGCUGGAUUUAGGUUCCAGUGGGGCAACCCGUGGGGGUUCAAAUCCCCCCCGGCCCACCA
rnacentral:tRNA from 1 species